GACGAACGCUGGCGGCGUGCCUAAUACAUGCAAGUCGAGCGGAUGGAAGGAAGCUUGCUUCCUAAAGUCAGCGGCGGACGGGUGAGUAACACGUGGGCAACCUGCCCCUAAGAUCGGGAUAACUUCGGGAAACCGGAGCUAAUACCGGAUAUGAUUAUUUCUCACAUGAGAGAUAAUGGAAAGACGGUUUCGGCUGUCACUUAGGGAUGGGCCCGCGGCGCAUUAGCUAGUUGGUGAGGUAACGGCUCACCAAGGCGACGAUGCGUAGCCGACCUGAGAGGGUGAGCGGCCACACUGGGACUGAGACACGGCCCAGACUCCUACGGGAGGCAGCAGUAGGGAAUCUUCCGCAAUGGACGAAAGUCUGACGGAGCAACGCCGCGUGAGUGAAGAAGGUUUUCGGAUCGUAAAACUCUGUUGUUAGGGAAGAACAAGUACCAUAGUGACUGAUGGUACCUUGACGGUACCUAACCAGAAAGCCACGGCUAACUACGUGCCAGCCGCCGCGGUAA
rnacentral:rRNA from 1 species